UGGGGGAUAUUGCACAAUGGGCGAAAGCCUGAUGCAGCGACGCCGCGUGGGGGAUGAAGGCCUUCGGGUUGUACACUUCUUUUGCUCUGAACAAGGCAUGCCUUUGGGGUGUGUUGAGUGUAGGGGUUGAUUAGCGCCGGCUAACUACGUGCCAGCAGCCGCGGUAAUACGUAGGGCGCGAGCGUUGUCCGGAAUUAUUGGGCGUAAAGGGCUUGUAGGUGGCUGGUUGCGUCUGUCGUGAAAGCUCAUGGCUUAACUGUGGGUUUGCGGUGGGUACGGGCUGGCUUGAGUGCAGUAGGGGAGGCUGGAAUUCCUGGUGUAGCGGUGGAAUGCGCAGAUAUCAGGAGGAAUACCGGUGGCGAAGGCGGGUCUCUGGGCUGUUACUGACGCUGAGGAGCGAAAGCGUGGGGAGCGAACAGG
rnacentral:rRNA from 1 species